rnacentral:rRNA from 1 species
AUUGAACGCUGGCGGCAGGCCUAACACAUGCAAGUCGAGCGGAGCGGCGGACGGGUGAGUAAUGCCUAGGACUCGGCCUGGUAGUGGUGGAUAACGUCCGGAAAUGGGCGCUAAUACCGCAUACUAUCAGAUGAGCCUAUGCCGGAUUAGCUAGUGGGUGGGGUAAAGGCCUACCAAGGCGACGAUCCGUAACUGGUCUGAGAGGAUGAUCAGUCACACUGGAACUGAGACACGGUCCAGACUCCUACGGGAGGCAGCAGUGGGGAAUAUUGGACAAUGGGCGAAAGCCUGAUCCAGCCAUGCCGCGUGUGUGAAGAAGGUCUUCGGAUUGUAAAGCACUUUAAGUUGGGAGGCGUUACCCACAGAAGAAGCACCGGCUAACUUCGUGCCAGCAGCCGCGGUAAUUC